GGGGGCAGCUUACCAUGCAAGUCGAGCGGUAACAGGGGGUGCUUGCACCCCGCUGACGAGCGGCGGACGGGUGAGUAAUGCAUAGGAAUCUGCCCAGUAGUGGGGGAUAGCCCGGGGAAACCCGGAUUAAUACCGCAUACGCCCUUUGGGGGAAAGCAGGGGAUCUUCGGACCUUGCGCUAUUGGAUGAGCCUAUGUCGGAUUAGCUAGUUGGUGGGGUAAAGGCCUACCAAGGCGACGAUCCGUAGCUGGUCUGAGAGGAUGAUCAGCCACAUCGGGACUGAGACACGGCCCGAACUCCUACGGGAGGCAGCAGUGGGGAAUAUUGGACAAUGGGGGCAACCCUGAUCCAGCCAUGCCGCGUGUGUGAAGAAGGCUUUCGGGUUGUAAAGCACUUUCAGUGAGGAGGAAAACCUUCUGGUUAAUACCCAUGAGGCUUGACGUUACUCACAGAAGAAGCACCGGCUAACUCCGUGCCAGCAGCCGCGGUAAUACGGAGGGUGCAAGCGUUAAUCGGAAUUACUGGGCGUAAAGCGCGCGUAGGUGGUUUGAUAAGCGAGAUGUGAAAGCCCCGGGCUUAACCUGGGAACGGCAUUUCGAA
rnacentral:rRNA from 1 species